CCCUUAGAUGUUCUGGGCCGCACGCGCGCUACACUGAUGCAUUCAACGAGUCUAAAACCUGGUCUGAUAGGGCUGGGUAAUCUUUUGAAUGUGCAUCGUGAUUGGGAUAGAUGAUUGCAAUUCUUCAUCUUCAACGAGGAAUGCCUAGUAAACGCAAGUCAUCAGCUUGCAUUGAUUGCGUCCCUGCCCUUUGUACACACCGCCCGUCGCUCCUACCGAUUGAAUGUUCCGAUGAAUACCAUGGACCGAGAGUAUGAAUGGGUUCGCCUAUUUCUGCUUCUCGGGAAGUGGAGUAAAUCUUAACAUUUAGAGGAAGGAGAAGUCGUAACA
rnacentral:rRNA from 1 species